rnacentral:rRNA from 1 species
AGUGAACGCUGGCGGUAGGCCUAACACAUGCAAGUCGAACGGCAGCACAGUAAGAGCUUGCUCUAACGGGGGGCGAGUGGCGGACGGGUGGGGAAUACAUCGGAAUCUACUUUUUCGGGGGGGAUAAGGUAGGGAAACUUACGCUAAUACCGAAUACGACCUACGGGGGAAAGCAGGGGAUCUUCGGACCUGGCGCGAUUGAAGGAGCCGAUGUGGUAUUAGCUAGUGGGGGGGGUAAGGGCCCACCAAGGCGAGGAUCCGCGGGUGGUCGGGGAGGAUGACCACCCACACUGGACUGGAGCCACGGUCCAGACCCCUACGGGAGCAGGCAGUGGGGAAUGUUGGACAAGGGGCGCAGGCCUGGUCCCGCCAUCCCGCGGGGGUAAAGAAGGCCUUCGGUUUUUAAAGCCCUUUUGUGGGGAAAAAAAAGCAGCAGUUUAAUCCCCCGCUGUUCUGAGGGUACCAAAAAAAUAAGCCCCGGCUAACUUCGUC